rnacentral:rRNA from 1 species
AGUUUGAUCCUGGCUCAGGACGAACGCUGGCGGCGCGCCUAACACAUGCAAGUCGAACGAGCGAGAGAGAGCUUGCUUUCUCGAGCGAGUGGCGAACGGGUGAGUAACGCGUGAGGAACCUGCCUCAAAGAGGGGGACAACAGUUGGAAACGACUGCUAAUACCGCAUAAGCCCACGGGUCGGCAUCGACCAGAGGGAAAAGGAGCAAUCCGCUUUGAGAUGGCCUCGCGUCCGAUUAGCUAGUUGGUGAGGUAAUGGCCCACCAAGGCGACGAUCGGUAGCCGGACUGAGAGGUUGAACGGCCACAUUGGGACUGAGACACGGCCCAGACUCCUACGGGAGGCAGCAGUGGGGAAUAUUGCACAAUGGGGGAAACCCUGAUGCAGCGACGCCGCGUGGAGGAAGAAGGUCUUCGGAUUGUAAACUCCUGUUGUUGGGGAAGAUAAUGACGGUACCCAACAAGGAAGUGACGGCUAACUACGUGCCAGCAGCCGCGGUAAAACGUAGGUCACAAGCGUUGUCCGGAAUUACUGGGUGUAAAGGGAGCGCAGGCGGGAAGACAAGUUGGAAGUGAAAUCUAUGGGCUCAACCCAUAAACUGCUUUCAAAACUGUUUUUCUUGAGUAGUGCAGAGGUAGGCGGAAUUCCCGGUGUAGCGGUGGAAUGCGUAGAUAUCGGGAGGAACACCAGUGGCGAAGGCGGCCUACUGGGCACCAACUGACGCUGAGGCUCGAAAGUGUGGGUAGCAAACAGGAUUAGAUACCCUGGUAGUCCACACCGUAAACGAUGAUUACUAGGUGUUGGAGGAUUGACCCCUUCAGUGCCGCAGUUAACACAAUAAGUAAUCCACCUGGGGAGUACGACCGCAAGGUUGAAACUCAAAGGAAUUGACGGGGGCCCGCACAAGCAGUGGAGUAUGUGGUUUAAUUCGACGCAACGCGAAGAACCUUACCAAGUCUUGACAUCCCUUGACGAUGCUGGAAACAGUAUUUCUCUUCGGAGCAAGGAGACAGGUGGUGCAUGGUUGUCGUCAGCUCGUGUCGUGAGAUGUUGGGUUAAGUCCCGCAACGAGCGCAACCCUUAUGGUCAGUUACUACGCAAGAGGACUCUGGCCAGACUGCCGUUGACAAAACGGAGGAAGGUGGGGAUGACGUCAAAUCAUCAUGCCCUUUAUGACUUGGGCUACACACGUACUACAAUGGCGUUAAACAAAGAGAAGCAAGACCGCGAGGUGGAGCAAAACUCAGAAACAACGUCCCAGUUCGGACUGCAGGCUGCAACUCGCCUGCACGAAGUCGGAAUUGCUAGUAAUCGUGGAUCAGCAUGCCACGGUGAAUACGUUCCCGGGCCUUGUACACACCGCCCGUC